rnacentral:rRNA from 1 species
AUACGGAGGGUGCGAGCGUUAAUCGGAAUUACUGGGCGUAAAGCGCGCGUAGGCGGUUAGAUAAGUCUGAUGUGAAAGCCCUGGGCUCAACCUGGGAAUGGCAUUGGAUACUGUUUAACUAGAGUGCAGGAGAGGAGAGUGGAAUUCUCGGUGUAGCAGUGAAAUGCGUAGAUAUCGGGAGGAACACCAGUGGCGAAGGCGGCUCUCUGGACUGACACUGACGCUGAGGUGCGAAAGCGCGGGUAGCAAACAGGAUUAGAUACCCCAGUAGUCC